rnacentral:rRNA from 1 species
UCUCCUACGGGAGGCAGCAGUGGGGAAUAUUGCACAAUGGGGGAAACCCUGAUGCAGCGACGCCGCGUGAGUGAAGAAGUAUUUCGGUAUGUAAAGCUCUAUCAGCAGGAACGAGACAAGACGGUACCUGACUAAGAAGCCCCGGCUAACUACGUGCCAGCAGCCGCGGUAAUACGUAGGGGGCAAGCGUUAUCCGGAUUUACUGGGUGUAAAGGGAGCGUAGACGGCUGAGCAAGUCUGAAGUGAAAGGCGGGGGCCCAACCCCCGGACUGCUUUGGAAACUGUAUAGCUAGAGUGCAGGAGAG